UUGAACGCUGGCGGCAGGCUUAACACAUGCAAGUCGAGCGGGGGAAGGUAGCUUGCUACCGGACCUAGCGGCGGACGGGUGAGUAAUGCUUAGGAAUCUGCCUAUUAGUGGGGGACAACAUCUCGAAAGGGAUGCUAAUACCGCAUACGUCCUACGGGAGAAAGCAGGGGAUCUUCGGACCUUGCGCUAAUAGAUGAGCCUAAGUCGGAUUAGCUAGUUGGUGGGGUAAAGGCCUACCAAGGCGACGAUCUGUAGCGGGUCUGAGAGGAUGAUCCGCCACACUGGGACUGAGACACGGCCCAGACUCCUACGGGAGGCAGCAGUGGGGAAUAUUGGACAAUGGGGGGAACCCUGAUCCAGCCAUGCCGCGUGUGUGAAGAAGGCCUUAUGGUUGUAAAGCACUUUAAGCGAGGAGGAGGCUACUUUAGUUAAUACCUAGAGAUAGUGGACGUUACUCGCAGAAUAAGCACCGGCUAACUCUGUGCCAGCAGCCGCGGUAAUACAGAGGGUGCGAGCGUUAAUCGGAUUUACUGGGCGUAAAGCGUGCGUAGGCGGCUUAUUAAGUCGGAUGUGAAAUCCCCGAGCUUAACUUGGGAAUUGCAUUCGAUACUGGUGAGCUAGAGUAUGGGAGAGGAUGGUAGAAUUCCAGGUGUAGCGGUGAAAUGCGUAGAGAUCUGGAGGAAUACCGAUGGCGAAGGCAGCCAUCUGGCCUAAUACUGACGCUGAGGUACGAAAGCAUGGGGAGCAAACAGGAUUAGAUACCCUGGUAGUCCAUGCCGUAAACGAUGUCUACUAGCCGUUGGGGCCUUUGAGGCUUUAGUGGCGCAGCUAACGCGAUAAGUAGACCGCCUGGGGAGUACGGUCGCAAGACUAAAACUCAAAUGAAUUGACGGGGGCCCGCACAAGCGGUGGAGCAUGUGGUUUAAUUCGAUGCAACGCGAAGAACCUUACCUGGCCUUGACAUACUAGAAACUUUCCAGAGAUGGAUUGGUGCCUUCGGGAAUCUAGAUACAGGUGCUGCAUGGCUGUCGUCAGCUCGUGUCGUGAGAUGUUGGGUUAAGUCCCGCAACGAGCGCAACCCUUUUCCUUACUUGCCAGCAUUUCGGAUGGGAACUUUAAGGAUACUGCCAGUGACAAACUGGAGGAAGGCGGGGACGACGUCAAGUCAUCAUGGCCCUUACGGCCAGGGCUACACACGUGCUACAAUGGUCGGUACAAAGGGUUGCUACACAGCGAUGUGAUGCUAAUCUCAAAAAGCCGAUCGUAGUCCGGAUUGGAGUCUGCAACUCGACUCCAUGAAGUCGGAAUCGCUAGUAACCGCGGAUCAGAAUGCCGCGGUGAAUACGUUCCCGGGCCUUGUACACACCGCCCGUCACACCAUGGGAGUUUGUUGCACCAGAAGUAGCUAGCCUAACUGCAAAGAGGGCGGUUACCACGGUGUGGCCGAUGACUGGGGUG
rnacentral:rRNA from 1 species